AACGCGAAGAACCUUACCAAGUCUUGACAUCUGGAUGACCGGAACUUAACCGUUCCCUCUCUUCGGAGCAUUGGAGACAGGUGGUGCAUGGUUGUCGUCAGCUCGUGUCGUGAGAUGUUGGGUUAAGUCCCGCAACGAGCGCAACCCUUAUCUUUAGUAGCCAGCAGUAAGAUGGGCACUCUAGAGAGACUGCCGGGGAUAACCCGGAGGAAGGUGGGGAUGACGUCAAAUCAUCAUGCCCCUUAUGACCAGGGCUACACACGUGCUACAAUGGCGUAAACAGAGGGAAGCGAGAUGGAGACAUGGAGCAAAUCCCAAAAAUAACGUCCCAGUUCGGAUUGUAGUCUGCAACCCGACUACAUGAAGCUGGAAUCGCUAGUAAUCGCGGAUCAGAAUGCCGCGGUGAAUACGUUCCCGGGUCUUGUACACACGC
rnacentral:rRNA from 1 species